UACGUAGGGGGCAAGCGUUGUCCGGAUUUAUUGGGCGUAAAGAGCGUGUAGGCGGUUAGGUAGGUCCGUUGUGAAAACUCGAGGCUCAACCUCGAGACGCCGAUGGAAACCAUCUAACUAGAGUCCGGAAGAGGAGAGUGGAAUUCCGUGGAUGUAGCGGUGAAAUGCGCAGAUAUCAGGAGGAACACCGAGUGGCGAAGGCAGGUCUCUGGGCUGACACUGACGCUCAUGCACGAAAGCGUGGGGAGCAAACAGG
rnacentral:rRNA from 1 species